rnacentral:rRNA from 1 species
AAUGGACGGAAGUCUGAACCAGCCAAGUAGCGUGAANGAUGACUGCCCUCUGGGUUGUAAACUUCUUUUAUACGGGAAUAACAUGAGGUACGCGUACCUUAUUGCAUGUACCGUUAUGAAUAAGCAUCGGCUAACUCCGUGCCAGCAGCCGCGGUAAUACGGAGGAUGCGAGCGUUAUCCGGAUUUAUUGGGUUUAAAGGGAGCGUAGGUGGGAUAUUAAGUCAGCUGUGAAAGUUUGGGGCUCAACCUUAAAAUUGCAGUUGAUACUGGUUUCCUUGAGUACGGUACAGGUGGGCGGAAUUCGUGGUGUAGCGGUGAAAUGCUUAGAUAUCACGAAGAACUCCGAUCGCGAAGGCAGCUCACCGGGCCGGAACUGACACUGAUGCUCGAAAGUGCGGGUAUCAAACAGGAUUAGAUACCCUGGUAGUCCGCACAGUAAACGAUGAAUACUCGCUGUUUGCGAUACACUGUAAGCGGCCAAGCGAAAGCGUUAAGUAUUCCACCUGGGGAGUACGCCGGCAACGGUGAAACUCAAANGAAUUGACNGGGGCCCGCACAAGCGGANGAACAUGUGGUUUAAUUCGAUGAUACGCGAGGG